GAACGAGAAAGUGGAGCAAUCCAUGAGUAAAGUGGCGACCGGGUGAGUAACACGUGACUAACCUACCUCCGAAUGGGGAAUAACUCCGGGAAACCGGGGCUAAUACCGCAUAACACCGCAAGGUCAAAGCAGCAAUGCGUUUGGAGAGGGGGUCGCGGCUGAUUAGCUAGUUGGCGGGGUAACGGCCCACCAAGGCGAAGAUCGGUAUCCGGCCUGAGAGGGCGCACGGACACACUGGAACUGAAACACGGUCCAGACUCCUACGGGAGGCAGCAGUGGGGAAUUUUGCGCAAUGGGGGAAACCCUGACGCAGCAACGCCGCGUGGAGGAUGAAGCCCUUUGGGGCGUAAACUCCUUUCGACCAAGACGAUGAUGACGGUACUGGUGGAAGAAGCACCGGCUAACUCUGUG
rnacentral:rRNA from 1 species